GUCGUUCACCUAUUCAGGCAUCUGAAUGAUUCCUAGUCGCCGUAGAGAGCCGAGGACUUCCACAAGGACUUGCGCGUUGCUUGAGGUAGAAAGCUGACGACUUUCUUAUCCGAUCAUGGGUUUUAUACGGCUCCUUCUACAAAAGUCCAAAUGACAUUCAAAACUCUGCCGCUAACUUUUAUUGGCCCGCAGUAUACCAUCGACUAAUGUUCCAUGAGCGGUCUUCGUUUGCGCAGUAGUCAGCCUUUUUGGCUCCUUGUUCACUUCUUGUUCAUCAUCGAGGCAAGUGGAUGGAAAAUCAGGAACUUAGCCAAGUUAUGAUCACACGUUUCACUCUUCAUCCAUGUACAAAAGCAAGAUAGCCUAGCCCUCUGAAACGCCCCUCCUGACCCACAUCCUUACCCAUCCAGAGAGGGAGAGGGAGAGAGAGGUAGAGAGAGAGAGAGAGAGAGAGAGAGAGAGAGAGAGAGAGAGAGAGAGAGAGANNN
rnacentral:lncRNA from 1 species